rnacentral:rRNA from 1 species
GCAAGUCGAACGAGAAAGUGCCUUCGGGUACGAGUAGAGUGGCGCACGGGUGAGUAACACGUAGAUAACCUACCCUUUGAUGGGGGAUAACCAGGAGAAAUUCUGGCUAAUACCGCAUAAGUUGGUAACAAGAAAGGAUGCUUAGGCAUUCGUCGAAGGAUGGGUCUGCGGAACAUUAGUUUGAUGGUGGGGUAAUGGCCUACCAUGACUACGAUGUUUAGCUUGUCUGAGAGGAUGAUC